ensembl:lncRNA
GGGGCAGGGUGAUUCAGAUCUAGCUCAGCUGGUAUUAAACCCUAAAUCAGAACAGCAACAAUGGAAGCUUGAGACGUGACCACUUUUUCAAUGAUGUAGUUUCUUUUACUAUGUUAUCCGUUUCAUAGUGCAAUAUCAGACUUUUUAAUGAGAAUUACAAUUUCUGACUUAAGGGAUUGCAGAUAUGUACAUUAUCUUAUGCCAGAGUUUGACAGUGUUAACCAUUAAGGUGUAACCUGGGAUACGAUUGGCUAUCUUGAAGACGAUCCUUAAAGCGUUAGUUCACCCAAAAAUGAAAAUUAUGUCAUUAAUGACUCACCCUCAUGUCGUUCCAAACCCGUAAGACCUCCGUUCAUCUUCGGAACACAGUUUAAGAUAUUUUUGAUUUAGUCCGAGAGCUUUCAGUCCCUCCAUUGAAACUGUAUGUACGGUAUACUGUUCAUGUCCAGAAAGGUAAUAAAAACAUUAUCAAAGUAGUCCAUGUGAUAUCAGAGGGUCCGUUAGAAUUUAUUGAAGCAUCGAAAAUACAUUUUGCUCCAAAAAUAACAAAAAUUACGACUUUAUUCAGGAUUGUCUUCUCUUCCGGGUCUGUUGUGAACGCGACUGCUGACAGAAAGCUCUCGGACUAAAUCUAAAAUAUCUUAAACUGUGUUCCGAAGAUGAACGGAGGUCUUACGGGUUUGGAACGACAUGAGGGUGAGUCAUUAAUGACAUAAUUUUCAUUUUUGGGUGAACUAAUGCUUUAAUGAUUGCUGUUGCACAAGAACUAGUUAUUUUAAAUAUGUACACACUCAGCCAAAAGUCUAAAAAUUUUAAGAAAAGGAAAGGUAAAUAAAGGAAAGCAUGUGUCCAAUCUACACAUUGCAUGCACUAAAUGUCCUUAUGGAAAUAGUUUGGAAAUUUAGCCGAAAAAAUAAUUAAACUAAAAUUUUAUUAUUUUUUUUUUUAAUUAAAAAAAUGUGUCAACUUUUUGGUAAUUCGUAAAUUUUUCACCAUAGUGGGAUCCAGGAUGAUGAAAAAUUAAAUGGCAGAAUCAAACCAGUGCCUGGAAUUCGUUCAUAUUAAACAGUGUUUAUUAUGUGAAUUAAUUAUACUGUCCCAAAGUCACAAAAUGCAUUGGGUUGUAUUGAACAGGAUCUUGCACUGCUAAUCAAAACACACCAGUCCAACAGUUUAAUUCCAGUUUCUAUUCAGUUGUUAUGAGACAGAGAAAAAUAAUAAUGAUCUUGUCCAACCAUUUUGUAGAUAAUCAAGGUACUUAUCAAAAUACAUUUAUCUAAUCCCGUU